rnacentral:lncRNA from 1 species
CCAUAUGCUCAUACCAAUUCCAAACUCCACAAAUUGAAAUACACAACACUCAAGAUAGAAGUUAAGGGUUGUAACGGGGCUUGGGGUAUUGGCUAACAAAGAAAGGUGAAGGGUAAACAAACGUUCUUAAAACAAUAGUAAUCAAAGCAAUGAAAUUGACUCUUCGAAUUCACUUUUGAAUGCAAAAAUCAACUUUUAAACUCAAAGGGGAAAUUCAUGCAACACUUGGGGUCAAAUUCAAUGUUUUGGACCCCUUCUUCAACAACCAACACCUUAGAGCUCAUUUCCAUGCUCUUUCAACUCUUUUUCACACUUUUCUCAACAUUUUUCUUUUUUUUCUUCUUUUUUCUACGAAUUUUCUUUCUUUUUUUUCUUUUUUUUUCUCGUGCCUCAAAAUAGACUUUGGCACAUCCACCUAUCAAAAAUCCUUCCCCCACACUUGUUUUCUGCACACCCUCAAUCAAAAGGAAUUCAUUUUAAGUCAUGCUUACUAUGCUUCAAGAACAAGGGUAUGGAUGGUCCUAAUCUAGGCUAGGUAAGGAUAAUGUGGGUUAACAAACAAUAUAGGCUAAACAAGGCUCAACGGGUUUAAACCUACAAAAACAAAUGUAUGGAAUGAAGGCUUUUUGGCUAUGGUGGUAACUACUAAACAACUUUAUCUUGAAUAUGUGUUAUGCAAUUCAAUAACAUGUUUUGAAUGAAAUUGGCAUGAGUUCUAGCAUUUGGAACUAAAUGAUGAAACGCCUUCUAAGUAGUAACCAAGCAAAGAAUAAUGAGAUCAUGCAACGACUUUAGAAAACAAGAAUGCACAUAUUUUAACUCUCCAAAUAAAGUUUAGGCUGAAGUCUCUCAGGGUUGUAGCUUUAGUUUGAGUUUCUUCCUUCAAGCAUGUCACAAAAACUGAUUUUUUUCCUUUUUGAUUACAUGUGAAUUCAUAAGUUAUAACUACAACUAAGCAUAAACCAAGAGUAAAUCAAACUUCCAUCCAUGUUUAUAACUCUCUUCAAUAGUCAUUCAAUUAAAAACCGAAUCCUCAUCAUUGUGUUGGAAGGUACCCUAAGACACAAACAAACACACAAAAACAACUUAAAAACGACUCUUUUUGGGUUUUUUAAAAACAAAUUUUCAAAUUUUUAUGGGAUUUUCGGAUUUUUGAAUCAAAACACAUUAAAACACACCAAAACAGCCUAAAAACACCUAAAAACAGCAAGAAACAACAUUGGAAAUUAUGAGUGAGAAAACCCUACGAAUUUGCAUCAAAACACUUUGGUUACCCCCCCACACUUAAACCAAACAUUGUCCUCAAUGUUUCAAGCAUAGACUCACACAAAAACACAUAAACAAACAAACCAACACUAACAAACUAAACAUGGCAGAAACGAAAGAAACAACAAAGAGAAGGGUUUAGAAACGCAAAUCUGGAAUUGGAGUGCUCUCUAGGUCUUCCUUUGUCAAAUGCAUGGGUUGCCUCCCAUGAAGCGCUUGCUUUAACGUCUUCCAGCCGGACGGUACCUCCAUUUAAGAUUGACUAGGUUCCAUGGCAUGGAGGGGUACAUCUUCCAUGACAUGCUCCUUGAAAUACUCAUGCAUUGGGUCUAUGUAUGGCAGUGGAUAAUGAUGGUCCCAGAUUGUGGCAUUGAGCUUCCCAAGGUCAAAGUAAGAACUCCCAUAAUCAUGGAUUCGAUUUGGUACCUGCACCACAGAAGGCAAUAACCUAUUAGUGGAAACGGGAAUUGGAAUUAGAGGAUGAGGCUUACCAAUGCAUGUAGAUGCAGACUCAAAAGGGACAGCAAAGGUGGUGCUCUCAGCCAGAUUUGGUAUUUUGGGUGUAAUGACAUGUUUCGUAUGCUCCACUCCAAUACCCUCUUUGGUGAUGCAUCUAGGGACAUCCUUCUUGAUUGGUGCGCAUGAAUGUUCCUUCCCCACAUUUUUAAUCACAUCUAUUGCAAAACAAGAACGAACAUCAUUAGGAUUCUUAACAUAUUCAGGAACUUUGAAUUUAAUCAAUUCAUCACCAAACUCCAUUGUUAACUCUCCCUUAGCCACAUCAAUCUUGGUUUGGGCUGUCUUCAUGAAGGGCCUCCCUAAUAGUAUCGGCAAUGGGGUAGAAUAGGGUGAAUCCUCCAUGUCAAGCACGUAAAAGUCCGCUGGAAAAAUCAAAUUGCCCACCUGCACCAAAACAUCUUCCAAAACACCCUUUGGAUAUGCAUUAGAACGAUCGACUAAUUGAAUAAUCACACCAUCGUUUUUAAGCUCACCUAAGUUCAUAGAUGCAUAAAUAGAGUAUGGCAUAACAUUAAUCGAAGCCCCUAAGUCUAACAUGCAUUGUUCAAACUUAGUCUUGCCAAUAACGCACGGAAUUGUAAAACUACCCGGAUCUUUGCAUUUAGGGGGUAAUUUCCUUUGUAACAUGGCAGAAACAUUCUCACUUACUUGGACCACCUCUUUGUUCGAAAUCCUUCUCCUUGAUGUACAAAGUUCUUUUAAAAACUUAGCAUACCUCGGGACUUGCUUAAUUGCAUCAAGGAGCGGAAUAUUGACUUGAACUUUUUGAAAGGUCUCUAGAAUGUCCUUCUCGGCUUCUUCCUUCUUUGAUUGCCUAAACCUGCCAGGAAAGGGCACAUUUAGUGGAAUGGAACUAGAAAAAGUCGAAUUUGGACUUACCUUGGUGGUUUGGGACGGCUUAGGAGGGCUAGAUGGUGGCGGCAAGGAUUGUUCAUCCUUGGCCGUGAGUUUUGGUCCCUGUGCUUCCUCUUGUAGCAAAUUUUCAUCCUCAUCGUGACUUGAUUUGGAUGAUUUUGGUUCGGCUCCAACCUGUGUACCACUUCUCAACAUGAUUGCACUGACGGUUUCAAAGCCUCCUUUAGGAUUCAUAAUAGUUGAACUAGGCAAUUUGCCUUGUUCUCUAAUCUGCCCCAUGAAUUCCGCUAUUUGCCCCACUUGCUUUUCCAAGUUAUCCACCCUUUUGUCUUGGAUUUGCCUCUCUUUGUUUUGAUUUUGUACUUCCUGCGUCAAAGUAGUAAGUAACUUAACAAUCUGAUCAUUAUCCAAAGACAUACCUGAGUUUGUUGGGGCAGAUUGCAAUUGGGUUUGAUUGGGGACGGAUGGCUUUGUAUAAAAGCCCGGUGGUUGCUGCCUAAAUCCUCCUUGUUGUUGGGGUUGUUGAGGAUCCCUCCACUUGAAAUUUGGAUGGUCCCUCCACCCUGGAUUGUAGGUGUUUGAGUAUGGAUCAUGGCGUGGUUGAUUUUGGCUCCCAAAACCCACGGCAUUGGCAGAUUCCCAACCCCCAUUCUCAAUCAAUUUAGGGCAUUGAUCGUUGGCAUGUCCUUGCAUAGAGCACACACCACACACACUUGGUCCAUGAAUCUUCAUUCCCUCGGCCAACUGAGAAACAAUAGAAGUAAGGUUAGCUAAUUGGGAUUGAAUUUCGGGCAUAGAACUUACCUCAUUCACUUGUGGCCGUGGGGGGUCUCUUUGUCCAACACCUUCGUAUUGUUGUGCAUUAUGUGCUCGGUUGGCAAUUAGAACUUUUGCAGCCCCCGGAGUUUUAUCCACCAACGCACCUCCCGCCAAGGCAUCAAGCAUUUGGUGUUCCAUGGGAAGGAGUCCUUCGUAGAAGUAUUGAAUGAGUAGCUCCUCCUUCAUUUGAUGCUGUGGACAAGAAGCAACAAGUGAUUUAAAACGUUCAUAAUAAGAAGGAAACGAUUCACCUUGAUUUUGUUGGAUGCCACUAAUCCGUUUCCUCAAGAGAAUGACUCUUGAAGUUGGGAAAAACUUCUCCAAGAAAGCUCUUUUCAUACUAUCCCAAGAUGUAACCGUUCCGGGUGCUAACUCGUAAAGCCAAUCCUUCGUCUUUUCCAAAAGUGAGAAUGGAAAAGCCUUCAUCAUCAGAAUGUUCCCGUCGACAUUUCUGGGUGUCAUGCUCGAACAAACAACCUCGAACUCCUUGAGAUGCUUGUUGGGAUCUUCCAUGGAAAGCCCAUGGUAUUUCGGAAUGUGGUGCAACAAGCUUGACUUCAACUCGAAUUCAUCGGUCUUGCCUUGGGCAGCCGCGGGGUAUUGAAUGCAUAAUGGUGCGGCAUUGGUCAACCCCGAGGCCGAAAGCUCUUUAAUGGUCCGAUUGUCCACUGCCAUAACUUCUUCUUCCACUUCUUCAAACUCAGAUUCGGCCUCUGAACUUGAACUAGGUUCACUAGGUUCGGGAUGCCUCCUCUUUCUUCUCAAAUCACGUUCAAAAUCGUCGUUGAAAUCCAAGAUGUGUGCAUGCACAGUUUGAGAACUCCGCGUCAUGCACUAGUACCUAAACCAAGAAAACAAAACAAAAUAGGAAAACUAGGUAAAUUAUACUAAAGACACACGGCAAAACACAAGGGAUUAGCAAUUUUGCUAAUCCCCGGCAACGGCGCCAAAAUUUGAUGUGAUAAUUAACUAGCACUCAAAUUAACCCUCUUUUUAUCAAUUGUAGUAAGUAUGUAAGUAGGGAUCGUUCUAGGCCGGGGAUUAGGAGGGAUUGCUAAAUCACUUGAAAACUGACUCAAAAACGUAAAAACAAAGUUUAAAACACUUAAAUCAACCAAAAACUCAAAACAGCAACUAAAAGACUCAAAACUGCCUUAAAACCACUUUCUGGGCAGUUUUGAGUACCUAACACUAAUUUGGACGAAAUUGGACUGUAACUUGACUCAAAGCACUUAAAAACACAAACUAAAUUGAUUUCUAACUAAUCUAACACUUUAAAAUAAAUGGGGGAUUGAUUUUGACGAAAAUUGAAACUUGAAAACUUAAACUUUGAAAACAAACUUAAAGCAAAACAGAUUGUGAUGAAAUAGAAUGGUGAGAAACUAGUUAGAGGAUUCCUUAUCCACACAUGAACAUAUGCAUACAACUCGAUUUCCAAUUACUCUUUCAACAAACCAUGAAUGAGAAUGCCCCAAAUUAACUAGAUUGCACCAAUUAAUUCUCAGAUUUCCCUAGAUUCAUUGAAUUGAAUGGAAUACGCAUUACAACCAAAUUAUUCUUAUCAAGGACCCUAACUAUGGAAUACGCAUGAUAGAGACACAUAUCAAAGAUCAUUAAGUUCAAUGGAAAUUAUAAACAUUGACGAGGCAUUCAUAACUAUGGGAUACGCAUGUUACUCUUGCCUAGGAUUUACUUAACGCAAUCGUGACUAGCGACUUUUACUACUUAUGAAUAUAAGUUAAUAACGAUUAGGUGAAAUUCCCUUAUAUCCUAGCAUCAAGUUUAUGCAUGCAAAUUAAGUGUCGACCCUCAACCCACAUACAUAAACAAGUUAUCAAUCAAAUAGAUAAGUAAACCACAUUCACGAUUUAUGAAAUCAUAAUUGGAAGAAAUCAAAUCAUAUAAAACAUAUGUCCAUGGCUUCAAAUUCGCCUCUAACUAAAAAGGAAUUAGUUCCACAUGUUUAACAUAAUUGAAAAGCAAUUUAAAUUAAACAUGAAAACAGAAACAAGAGAAGAAAAAACUCUUAAAACUCCCAAAGAUGCAGAUGACUUGCGCACAAGGCCCUCAUUCAUCAAUGGAAUGCACGACAAGGCUCUCCUUCUUCUCCAAAAGGUGCGGCAGAGAUGUGUAUGGAUGUAGGAUGGGGUUUUGUGAUGUAGAAUGGUGAUUAGGGUUGCGGCAAGGUGUGUUUGAAUGGUGUGAAGGGGUGGUGACGAAUUUAGGCUUAAAAACACAUAUAUAUAGGCACCACAAACCCUAAAGAAAUCAGGUUAGACAAUGGGCUAGGGUUUAGGUGCGGCUAGGGUUAGAGAUGGGCCUUCUAGAAUGCCUUGCAAGGCAAGGAAAUAGGUGUUCUAGAAGGCUAGGUGCGGCUGAUUAGUGGGCUAGGGUUAGGGUUUGUAGAUAGGGCUUCUAGAAAGCCCAAAACCAAGAAUAGAAACUCUCGAAAAUGGAAACCUCUAAGAAUAGAAACUUCCAACUUUAGAAACUUUGGUUGCCAAUUCCGACUUCUUUGUUCUUCACUUUCAUUUCUUCAUUUCUUAAGCUCCUUUGACCUUCAAACUCGUCCAUUCCUUGUGCUCCAUAGGCAUACACUCCAUUCCAGCUCAAUUUUGCUCUCAAAUGCUCCAAAUUGCAUCAUUUUAUGUAAUAUACUCUUAAAACCUGAAAACACAUGAAACUAACUUAAAAGACUACUUUAAACUAAGAAAACAUAACUAAAAUGCAUAAGAACUAGCUAACUAAGGCGCAUAAAUAUGCUCGUAUCAAGUGGACAUCAUAUGCUUGGAGCCAAGAAGAUGGACGAAAUUGAAGAUUUGAAGAUGAUGUUUCCUACUUGAACAAGGUUUCCUUGUUGAAGUAGGAAAGUCCCUAAUUGAAGAUGGAAUCCUAGUUGAAAUAGGUUUCCUAGUGGAAUUGGGAUUCCUAGAAGAUGAAGAUUCCUACUCAAACAAGGUUUCCUACUUGAAGUAGGAAAGUUAAAUCCAAAUGGCAUCAAGUUUCAGCAACAAAGAAGUUUUCCAAGUCCAAGAAGGAAAAGGAAUCCAAGAUGAUGAAGGAUUGACAAAGACAAACUUUCCUAAUCCUAAUGUACAAAGAUUUCAGCUCCAAAGAGGAGUCCUAAACACUUUAGGACACCUUAUCUCUUCAUAAUCAGCCUUAUCCCUUAGUGCCGCACCAUACCCUUCUAGAAAUCUGAUUUCCUUGCCUUGCAAGGCUUUCUAGAAGCCUUAUCCACCCUAUCCCUUACCUGCUGCACCUAGGAUGCCUUUUCCCAUUCAAAAUCUGAUUGUUUUAAGCCUUUUCCUGAUGGGUUUUAAUUAUACAAGUCCAUAUCUGAUUCCCUUAGGGUUUUAAGUGCCUAUAUAUACUCAUAUUAACCCUUUGGCUGAAUGACCACCUCUCAUACACAUCAAUUCACGCCAAAAAUCAUCCCUUGCUCUUUGCCGCACCCUUCCACCACCAUAUUCCAUAAUUUCUGCUCAAAAUCAUCCCUAGCCACACCACCCAUCAACCCUUGACACCACCACACAUCCCCCAUCCAUUCUACACCAUUCAUAACCCCAAAACCUAUCCACAACUUUUGUGCCGCAGCAAGGAGAAAGGAAGGAACUUCGUGGAUGCACUUGCUGUCCAAGUUUGAGUAUCUAGGUGUUUUCUUUCUUUGGAAUUCAAUGUUUAAACUUAUUUAUCUUUGCUUUGUGCAUAUGAGGAACUAAACCCCCCUUGGCUAGGGGGGAUUCGAAACCAUGUUUAUGCUUGCUAUAUGAUUUGAUUACUUCUAAUUGCGUUUCAUAAGUUGUGAAUUCAAUUUACUUAUCUAUAUGAAUUUGAUGCUAGGAUAUAAGGGAAUUUCAAUUAAUUGUUAUGAACUUAUAUUCACAAGUAGUAAAGGUUGUUGAUCACAAUCACGUUAAGUAAAUUCUUGGCAUAAGUAUCAUGCGCUUUCAUAGUGCCUCGUCAAUGCUUAUGAUUUUCAUAGAACUUAAUGAUCCUUGCUUGAAUCUCUAUUAUGCGCUUUCAUGUAGGGAACUUGUGGGGAAUGCUUUGGGUUGUCGUAUGCAAUUCAUCCAAUUCAAUAACUUAAGGAAAAUCUAAGAGUUAAUUUAAGCGGACCUAAUUAACUUAGGGCGUUGAGAAUUCAUGGUUUAUUGAGAAGCAAUUGGAAAUCGUUCUGUAUGCAAGUGUGACAUGUGUGGAGAAGAACCCCUUAGCUAGCCUUCCAUCCAUUCACUUUAACCAAUUUCAUUUUAAAAUCUGUUUAGUUUAGUUUACUUGUUUUGUUUUUAAAUUCGUCCAAAAUCAAUCCCCCUUUACUUUGUUGAGUCAUAUUAGUUAGAAAUCAAUUUAGUUUGUGUUUUUAAGUGUCUUGAGUCAAGUUAUAACCAAUUUUCGUCCAAAUUCUUCCUUGGUGUCAGAAACUGCCCAGAAAGUGUUUUUAAGGCAGUUUUGAGUGUUUGUUUGCUGUUUUGAGUAUUUUGGUUUAUUUUGGUGUUUUAAAGUUUAGUUUUGCAUUCUUUGAGUCUAGUUUAGUGUUUUAAACUUGUUUUUACGUAUUUGAGUCAGUUUUCAAGUGAUUUAGCAAUCCCUCUUAAUCCCCGGCCUAGAACGAUCCCUACUUACAUACUUUGCUACAAUUGAUAAAAAGAGGGUUAAUUUGAGUGCUAGUUAAUAUCAUAUCAUUAAUUUCGUAUUUCUUGAGCUCAACAACCAUGUACUUUGGCACCUAUAGAAGCUGAAAAUAGAUAGAUUUAGAAUUCAGAAGAAGCAACCAUAAUACCACCAUCUGCCAUUUCUUCACUGGGAAAAUUGCCUCAAAGAAGGAGUACCCCUAGACUUUUGAACCCACCAAUAUCUUCAAUGCCCUAGUGGCAUGGGUCAAUCUAUUUUCGGAAAGUGAGAGGAAUGCAACGGUGUCAACAAAAAAUCUCAAUAUGUAUUUGUCCCUCAAGAUUAUUUGCAGUUAGUCGAAGUGCUUUGAAGGUUUGCAUGAGUAAAGGUUUAUUGGCAAGAGACCAUAGAAAUGAUUAUUCAUAAAAUCGAGUUUACUCUAUUGAGUAAGUUCAGAGAAAUCAAUGGCUGAGAUGUUACCUGGCCUGUAGGUGUGUGCAGGUAGAAUUAGUUGAAUAUGCAUUUAAAUUUUUUGUAUAAUUCAAUGAAUAAAUGUAAAGACAUGCAUGUAGAAUUGGUUGAAUAACAGUAACAAUGACCACACUUAAUAUUGAUGCCUACGCCUUUGAAUUAUGCUUUGGAAAAAUCUGAGUUUGAAUAAAAAUAAUGUAGCGAAUCUGUUAGUAAUUACGAUUUGGAUUUGAAAUGAAAAAACUUGUCUAUGUCGAUUCAUCCCUUGGUGGAUAUAAAACUUCAAAAUCAUCAUUCAUCGGUCAAAAGAGUAUGUUCAUCUCUAUGAGAGUGUUUAGAGUUUUAGCUAGAAUGAUGUUGGAUAAGUUGCAUAAUGGUUGGGUUUGAUGUGCAUGGUAAUGUUGGAUUACUAGGUGUGGAUUUAUUGAUAAAUUUUUAAUUUUGUUGUUAAUUUCACAUUGUACUUGAUGGUAAUUAUGCACUAGAAAAAAGAAGAUAAUUCACAUUUGAAGUUAGCUUAUAUGAGUUCAAAUAAAAUUUUCCAAACUCAUUUCUCAUUCUUCUUCCUCUUGUAUUCUUCGAUAGAAAGUGAUAGGAGCAUAUUUAUGUGACUUAGUUAGCUUAUUUUCUUGCAUUUUCAUAGCUAGUUUUUACUUAUUAUAGUGUUUUAAGCUAUUUUCGUGUGUUUGUAGGUCCAAAUGACAAAGUUGGCAAAAAAAUGCAUUUUGGAGCAUUUUAGAGCAGUUUUGGGCUGGAAUGGAUAGCUUACAUAUGGAGCACUAGGAAUGGACGAAUCUGAAGUUCAAGAGAGGUUAGGAAUGUGCUAAAGAGUUGAAGAAAUUAAUUCAAGAUAUUGAAGAUAAGGAAUCAGCUCAAAAGAAGAAGAUAUUAUCCAAAAUGCCUUAUCUAUCCAAAACCUUAUCCAACCUUAUCUCAUCAAAACUAACAUUAUCUUAUCUUAUCCUAUCCUAAUCCUAUCCUACCUUAAUUCCAGCUACAAGGGGGACUCCUUAUCACAUUAGAAUACCUAAUAUCUGAUUCCAGAAGCCCUGAAACAAUGCAAGUAACCUGAUCCUUUUUCCCCUAGAAAUCUGACAAAUUUAAUCCCUUUCUAGAAGCUUUGUGUUGAAUUUCCUGGUCCUAUUCCUCUAGGAUUAUGUAAUCCUUCUCCUCCACUACAUUGCGCAAAACCCUAGCCUAUAAAAACAUAUUUUCUGCCACAAUUCAAACGACCACCCUCUGCCAUCAGAUCAGAACACCAUCCACAACAAAUUCAUCCCAUUGUGCUACAGCUAUGCAAGGAAGAAGAAGAAGGAGCCACCUGGAGCCGUGCUUGCCAUUCAACAUUGGAUUGCUGGAGCGUUCUUAGGUGUUUUCUAUCUUUUAUUUUCAAUGUCUAAUUUAAGUUAUCUUUGUUUAAUUGCGAACAUGAGGAACUAAUUUCUAUUUAGUUAGAGGUGAAUUCGAAGCCAUGAUUAUAUGCUUUAUAUGAAUUGAUUACAUCCAAUUAUUGUUUCUUGAGUCUUGAAUGUGAUUUGCUUAUCUGAGUUAUUAAAACUUGUUUACGUAUGUUGAUUGAGGAUGCAUACUUAGUUUGCAUGCAUAAACUUGAUGCUAGAGUAUAAGGGAGUUUCACCUAAUUGUUAUGAACUUAUAUUCACAAGUAGUGGAAGUCACUAGUCAUCAUUGUGUUAAGUAAAUCCUUGGCAGGAGUAUCAUGCUUUUCAAAGUUACGAAUGCCUCGUCAAUGCUUAUGGGUUUCAAAGAACUUAAUGACCUUUGAUAUGUUUUCUAUCAUGCUUUUCAUAGUUAGGGGACUUGAGAAGGAUAAUUUGGUUUUGAUAGGUAUCCCAUCCAAUUCAAUGAAAUAAGGAAAAUUUGAUGGUUAAUUUGUGCUAUCACGGCUAACUUGGGGUGUUGUCAUUCAUGGUUUAAAGGAAUAAUAACUGGAAAUUGGUUUGUACGCAUAUAUCAUGUGUGGAGAAGGACCUUUUAACUAGCUUUUCACCCUUUUCAAUUCAUCAAAUUCGUUUUCUUAAAGUGUUUUAUGCAAAGUUUCUGUUUUAAGUUUUAAAUUCAUCAAAAAAAAAAAAAUCGCCCAUUCAUUAAGUCUUGUUAGUUGAGUCAUAAUCUGUUUUCUUUUAGUCUUUUAAGUCAAGUUAAGUCUUAUUUUCGUCAAACUCACUUGUUAUGUCUAGAAUUGAGUCUUUUUUAUUGUUUGUUGCUGUUUUGAGUGUUUUGAGUCAGUUUUGAGUCUAUAGAGUCUAGUUGAGUGUUUCUAAGUCUAGUUUGGUAUUUUUGAGUGAAAUUUGAGUAGAUUAGUAGCCCUUCUAAUCCCUGGCCUAAAACGAUCCCUACUUUCAUAUACUACAAUCAUAGGGUUUUUAUGUGAGUGUUUGAAUAUUUCACAUCAAAUUUUGGCGCCGUUGCUAGGGAUUAGCAAAAUUGCUAAUCUCCCUUUGUCUUCGUUCGUGUCUUUUACUUUUGAUAUUUGAUUUAGUUUUCUUUCUUUGAUUUUAGGUACUAGAGAAGCAAGACAUGGCAAUUGCUAAUCUUCAAGCUCAAAUGGCGAAUCUUACUUCUUAGUUGUCGUAGUAUAUCGAAAGGACCACAAUGAAAAGUGUCCCUACAUUUGGUGUGUCCUAUAGGCAAGGAUAUCAAACUCAUCAACAUCCUCAAUUAACUGAGAAUGAAGGUGCCUGGGGUUAUCAAAGCCAUAAUCAAUCAAGGAACAACCUAUUUUCCAACACUUACAAUUCAGAUUAGAGAGAUUAUUUUAAUUUUAUGUGGAGGGAACCUCAACAAUUUCAACAAGACGGAUAUUGGUAGCAAUCUGAGGAGUUUUAUUCAAGACCUAUGCAACCACCACAGCCUCCCCCACAACAAUUCCAAUCAAAUUCAAGUAUGUCCAUAGAUAAUGAUAAAAUUCUUGAUGUACUAACUUCUUUGACGCAUGGCUUACAAAACCAAGCUAAGGAGAUGAGCGAAUUGAAAAAUCAACUUGGAGAGAUUGCAUAAUUCAUAGGGCAAAUUCAAGAACAAAGUGAACUUUCCGACUCAACCAUUGUCAAUCCAACGGGAGACUUUGAAAUCGCUGAAACUAUCACCUUGGGAAGUAGUAUAGAGGUUGGAGCUAACCUAAAAACGUCCAAACACAGCCAUAAUGUGGAUGACCAGCUGCUGCAAGAAGAAGAAGAGGUGGACAAGGCCACGGCAAGAGAAGAACAUCCCUUGCCGCAGCCUUCUAAGGCUCUUACACCAUCCAAUUUAGGUAAGGUUGUUCCAAAUUCAACUCUUUCUAACCCCAUUCCACCAAAUGUCCCUAUCCCUUGCAAGUUCAUGAUUUCCAAGGAAGAAGAAAGUGAAAAAGACAUCUUGGAAGCCCUUUCAAAGGUGCAAAGUAAUAUCCAAAUUCUUGGUACAACAAAUCAAGUUCCACAAUGUGUUAAAUUGUUCAAAGAACUUUGUACAACAAGAAGAAUGAUUCAAGAGAAAGAAGUGGCAGGGGAAUAUCAAGAAUUCAUGAAAGGGGAUGUACUUGAGACAACAAUUCCCAAAGAAGUUGGAUUUUAUGACACGGGACAAGUCAUAACUCUCAAAACACCCAAUCUGGCUGAAUUUUCUAGUCCUACAACCUUCGAAGGGGUGUUUAUUCUUGAGUUCAUGUCGGAGCACACAGGUAAGCGACAUCCCCGAAUUUCAAUUUUGUUUUAUACUAAUAUGUUGUUAAUGAUUCAGGCACCCACUCUAGAAUUUAAACCAUUACUGGAUCAUUUCAAGUAUCACCUCCCAUUCAAAGAUCAAUUCCAUGCCGUGGUGAUGUGAAAAUUAACUAGCACUCAAAAACGUAAAAACAAGUUUAAAACACUAAAAUAGACUCAAAGAAUGCAAAACUAAACUUUAAAACUCCAAAACAAACCAAAAGACUCAAAACAGCACCAAAACACUCAAAACUGCCUUAAAAACACAAUCUGGGCAGUUUUGGACACUAAGCACCAAAUUGGACGAAUUUGGGUUUUAACUUGAAUCAAAACACUUAAAAACACAAAGUAAAACACUUACUAACUAAUUUGACAAUUUAAAACAAAGGGGGAUUGGUUUUGGACGAAUUUAAAAACAAAACAAAACUUUGUAAAUUGACAAGACUCUAAAACGAAUUUGGUUUAAAUGGAUGGUGGAAGGCUAGCUAAGGGGUUCAUCUCCACACAUGUUAUACUUGCAUACAAAACGAUUUCCAAUUGCUUUUCAAUAAACCAUGAAUUCUCAAUGCCCCAAGUUAAUUAGGUCCGCUUACAUUAACCCUCAGAUUUUCCUAACGUUAUUGAAUUGGAUGAUUGCAUACGACAACCCAAACAUUCCCCACAAGUUCCCUACAUGAUUGCAUAAUAGAGAUACAAGCAAGAAUCAUUAAGUUCUAUGAAAACCAUAAGUAUUGACGAAGCACUUGUUACUAUGAUUGCAUGAAACUUAUGCCAAGAAUUUACUUAACGCGAUUGAGAUCAUCAACCUUUACUACUUGUGAAUAUAAGUCAAUAACGAUUAGGUGAAAUUUCCUUAUAUCCUAGCAUUCAAUUUAUGCACGAUAAUUAAGCGUGCACUCUCAACCAACACACACAAAUCAAUGUAAUUCACAUAGAUAAGUAAAUUGAAUUCACAACUUAUGAAACGCAAUUAGAAGUAAUCAAAUCAUAACACAAGCAUAAACAUGUAUUUCGAAUCCCCCCCUAGCCAAGGGGGGUUUAGUUCCUCAUACGCACAAAACAAAGAGAAUUGAAUUUAAACAUUGAAAUCAAAGGAAAAGAAACACCUAGAAAUUCCAGCGACGCGAACUUGAAUUGCAUGAACUUCCGAGCUUCCUUCUCUUCCUCCUUGGUGCGGAAAAGGACUUUUAGGGCCAGGUUGGGACUUUAGGUGUAUGGAUGCAUGGUUAUGGAUGGAUGUAGUAGUGUUUAGGGGGUGGGGAUGGUGCGGCAAGACUUAGAACUAGGGGGAAUGGUGUUUGGUGGGUGCGGCAAGAGUGAGGAGAGGGUUGGACGAAUUUCUGGAGUGAAUUGUGAAUUGUGGUGAGUGGUGUUCUGAUUUAGGGGUUAAUAGGAGUAUAUAUAGGCACUUAAAACCCUAGGGUAAUCAGAUAUGGACUUGGAUAACCCAAAUCCACAAGGAAAUAGGUCUAAACAAUCAGAAAUCCUAAGGGAUAAGGAGUAGGGGUGCGGCAGGAUUUAUGGGACAUGGAUAGGCCUUCUAGAAAGCCUUGCAAGGCAAGGAAAUCAGAUUUCUAGAAGCUAGGGUGCGGCACCAAUGUAGGGAUUAGGGAUAGGGCUUCUAGAAAGCCCCAAAACUGAUAGGAAAUGUAGGAAACUCACGGCAAGGAGGGGAACACUCUAGAAACUUCUCAUUUGUGUCCUACAACACUUAGGAGUCCUUCUAGCAUUAGGAAAACAUGUCUCAAUCCUCCCUUGACUUGGAAUUCUUCUCCUACUUCAUCUUGGAAACCUUUCCUUCAUGGACUUGGAAAUCUUCUUUGUUGCUGAAACUUGAUGCCAUUUGGAUUUAACUUUCCUACUUCGAGUAGGAAACCUUGUUUGAGUAGGAAUCUUCAUCUUCAAGGAAUCCUAAUUCAACUAGGAAACCCAUUUUGACUAGGAAUCCUAAUUCAACUAGGAUUCCAUCUUCACUUAGGCGCUUUCCUACUUCGACUAGGAAACCUUGUUCAAGUAGGAAACAUCAUCUUCAAAUCUUCAAUUUCGUCCAUCCUCUUGGCUCCAAGCAUAUGACAUCCAUUCCAAGCUCAACUUUGCUCCAAAAGGCUCCAAAAUGCAUCCUUUUUCAUAUUUUGCCCUCAGAACCUGAAAACACAUAAAACUAGCUUAAAAGACUACUUUACUAAGCAAAAACACUAUAAAUGUACAAGAACAAGCUAAACUAAGGCGCAUAAAUAUGCUCCUAUCACGUGGGACCUAGGGGAGCUUCAAAGGAGGUAUCGUCCGGCUGGAAGACGUUAAAACAAGUGCAUCUUGGGAGGCAACCCAUGCAAAUAAAGAAGAACUAGGAAACUCCGACAUCAUAACCAAAUUUGCAUUCUUAAACUCUACUCUUUCUUGCUUUUACUUUGCCAUGUUUGUCAUGUUUGUUAGUUGUGUCGUUUGCUUGCUUAUGUGUUAGUCUAUGUUUGAAACAUUGAGGACAAUGUUUGGUUUAAGUGUGGGGGGGGGGGGGGGAUAAACAAGUGUUUUUAUUGAAAAUUCAUCGGUUUUUAUCACCUAGCACCACUAGAGUUGUUUCUCACUGUUUUUAAGUGUUUUUAGUGUGUUUUUAAGUGUUUUAGUGUGUUUUGAAAGAAAAAUACGAAAAUUUGAAAAAAAAAUAAUAGAAAAAGUUUUGAAAAAACCAAAAAAGAGUCAUUUUAGAGUCGUUUUUGUGUGUUUGUGUCUUAGGGUACAUUCCAACACAAUGAUGAGGAGUUGGUUUUUAAUUACAUGACUGUUAAAGAAAAUUACAAACAUGGAUGGAAGUUUGAUAUGCUCUUUGGUUUAUGCUUGAUUCUAGUUGUCAUUUGCGAAUUCACAUGUAAUCACAAAGGAAAAAAAUCAGUUUUUGUAACAUGCUUGAAGGAAGGAACUCAAUCUAACAUUACAACCCUGAAAGAUUUGACCCUAAACUUUAUUUGGUGAGUUAUUAAUCUGUGAUUUCUUGUUUUCUAAAGUCGUUGUAUGGUCUCAUCAUUAUUUGCUUGGUUGCUACUUAGAAUUCGUUUUAUCACUUUAGUUCCAAAUAUUAGAACUCAUGCCCGUUUCAUUCAAAGCUUAAAAUUGAAUGCAUAGCAUAUAACAAGAUAAAGUUGUUUAGUAGUUACCACCAGAGCCAAAAAGCCUUCAUCCCAUGCAUUUGUUUUGUAGGUUUAACCCUUUUGAGCCUUAUUUAGCCAAUUUUCUUUGUUAGCCACAUUAUCCCUACCUAGCCUAGAAUAGGACUAUCCAUACCCUUGUUCUUAAAGUAUAGUGGAGCAUGACUUAGAGGGAAUUCCUUUUGAUCAAACAUAUUGCAGAAAUCAAGUGUGGGGGAAAGUUAUGUACAUGAGUAGAAAGAAAAGAAAAAAAACAAGAAAAAAAAUGUGAAAAAGAAAAAAAAAGUUGUGAAAUAAGUGAGAAUAAACUCACAAGUAUUGGUUGUUGAAGAAAGGGUCCAAAAAAGUUUGAAUAUGACCCUAAGUAUGUACGAAAUCCCCUUAGUGUUUCGAGUUAUUUGUUGCAUUCACGAGUAAAUUCUAAGUUGAUUUCAUUACUUUGCUUACUAUUGCUUUAAGAACCUUUGUUUAUCCUUACCUUUCUUUGUUAACCAAUACCCUUAGCCCCAUUACAACCCUUAGACUUUAAUCUUGGUUGUUGUGUGUUUCAAUAUGUGGAGUUUGGGAAUGGUAUGAGCAUAUGGUAUCCCUGGUUCUCGCGUCUAAAUAGUGGCAUUCCGUUCAUGAGAUCAUAUAUAUAUAUAUAUAUAUAUAUGCAUUAAUAAUUCCAGAAAGUGUCUUCUUUGAUUAUAACAUAUGUGAGUGCUAGUCUACAUGUUUACAUUAAUCUUCUCACAUAUACCUAAUAUAGGGAGUGUAGUCAGAAAAUCUGUGUGAAAAUAAAGAGUAUAUCGGGUGAGAAAUUGAGGGAAUUCUCUAAGGCAUGUUACUACAUUUAAAAUGUUGUUUUAAUUGAUUAUAUGCGAGCUAGUGAGUGGUGACUGUGAUUAAGUGUGUGCUCGAGGGUAAGGAUAACUAAAAUAUAUGGGAGUAGUGAUUUUUAACGUGUCAUGUUUCAUUGGAAAUCCCUGAGGUGAAUGUUGGAAGGUCUAGGUUAUGUUUUGUUUGUUUUGUUUUGCUUGAGGACUAGCAAAAGCUAAGUGUGGGGGAAUUUGAUAGGAGCAUAUUUAUGGGACUUAGUUAGUUUGUUUUCUUGCAUUUUCAUAGCUAGUUUCUACUUAUUAUAGUGUUUUAAGCUAUUUUCGUGUGUUUGUAGGUCCAAAUGACAAAGUUGGCAAGAAAAUGCAUUUUGGAGCAUUUUAGAGCAGUUUUGGGCUGGAAUGGAUAGCUUACAUAUGAAGCACUAGGAAUGGACGAAUUUGAAGUUCAAGAGAGGCUAAGAAUGUGCUAAAGAGUUGAAGAAUUUAAUUCAAGACAUUGAAGAUAAGGAAUCAGCUCAAAAAAAGGAGAUAUUAUCCAAAUUGCCUUAUCUUAUCCAAAACCAUAUCCAACCUUAUCUCAUCCAAACUAACCUUAUUUAUCUUCUCCUAUCCUAAUCCUAUCCUACCUUAAUUCCAGCUACAAGGGGGACUCCUUAUCACAUUAGAAUACCUAAUAUCUAAUUCUAGAAGCCCUGAAACAAUGCAAAUAACCUGAUCCUUUUUCCUUAGAAAUCUGACAAAUUUAAUCACUUCUAGAAGCUUUGUGCUGAAUUUCCUAGUCCUAUUCCUCUAGGAUUGUGUAAUCCUUCUCCUCCACUACUUUGCACAAAACACUAGCCUAUAAAUACAUAUUUUCUGCCACAAUUCAAAUGACAACCCUCUACCAUUAGAUCACCACACCAUCCACCACAAAUUCAUCCCAUUGUGUUACAGCUGUGAUGUGAAAAUUCUGUUGACACUCAAAUUAACCCUCUUUUUAUCAAUUGUAGCAAGUAUGUAAGUAGGAAUCGUUCUAGGCCGGGGAUUAGGAGGGAUUGCAAAAUCACUUGGACUUGACUCAAAAACGUAAAAACAAGUUUAAAACACUAACUAGACUCAAAGAAUGUAAAACUAAACUUUAAAACACUAAAACAAACCAAAAGACUCAAAACAGCAAAUAAACACUCAAAACUGCCUUAAAACCACUUUCUGGGCAGUUUUGGACACCACAAGUCCCCUACAUGAUUGCAUAAUAGAGAUACAAGCAAGAAUCAUUAAGUUCUAUGAAAACCAUAAGCAUUGACGAAGCACUUGUUACUAUGAUUGCAUGAAACUUAUGCCAAGAAUUUACUUAACACGAUUGUGAUCAACAACCUUUACUACUUGUGAAUAUAAGUUCAUAACGAUUAGGUGAAAUUCCCUUAUAUCCUAGCAUCAAAUUCAUGCAUGCAAACUAAGUGUCGACCCUCAAUUAACAUACAAGAAUAAGUUUUAAUUCACAUAGAUAAGCAAAUUGAAAUGACAACUUAUGAAACGCAAUUAAAAGUAAUCAAAUCAUAUAGCAAGCAUAAUCAUGGUUUCGAAUCCCCCCUAGCCAAGGGGGGUUUAGUUCCUCAUACUCGCAAAUAAACAAAGAUAGAAAACACCUAGAAACGCUCCACAAUCCAAGCUCCUUGAAUGGCAUGCACGGCUCCAAGUUGUCUUCCUUCUUCUCCUUGCAAACUCACGGCACACAAGGUAUGUUUGGGUGAAUGGUGUAGUGAAAAUAUGGUAGAGGAUGGUGACUAAAUGGUGCAGCAAAGGGUGGUAUUUAUAGGCUGAAAUUCGCAGCCCCUAUGUAGCAAAGGAAAAGGAUUUAAAAGCCUAAUUUGUAUAGGAUAAUAACACACAAUCCUUGAAGGAAAAGGCUAAGGCUUUUAGAAACCAAGGGGGAAAGGAAUAAUCAGGUUUCUAGGAGUCCUAGAAAGGUUUGGGGCGUCACUUUUGUAGGAGAAGGGAUAAGGCCUUAUAGAAAGGUUAUUUUGUGGCUGAUUUCUAGAAAAACAAGGGAUAAGGUGUGGCACCUUUGUAGGAAAGGAUUAGGUCUUCUAGAAAUCCCAUUUUAAGCAUCCUAAUCUAGUUAGAAGCCCUCCUAAGUGGCUGGAAUGUGGAUAAUUUAGGAUUAGGAUAAGAUAAGAUAGGAUAAGGUUUGUUUGGAUAAGAUAAGCUAAGAUAAGGUUAUGGAUGAGGUUUUGGAUAAGAUCCUUCUCUUGAGUUGAUUCUUUGGCUUUAAUUCUUCUUCUUCAUGUAGGAAUACUUGCUUGAGUAGGAAACUUCAUUCGUCUAGGAAUCCAUCUUCAAUUAGGACUCCUACAUUGAUUAGGAAUCCUUCUUUAUUUAGGAAUCCUUCAUUUAAGCCCUUUCCUACUUCAACUAGGAAACUUUGUAUCUUCAAUUCUUCAACUUCAAAACACAUUCCUAGCUUCAUCAAUCCUUCAAAUUCGUCCAUCCCUUGUGCUACAUAUGCAUGAACUCCAUUCUAGCCCAAUUUUGCUCCAAAAUGCUCCAAAUUGCUUCCUUUUGCUCACUUUGUCUCUAAAGCCCGAAAACACAUGAAAAUAGCUUAAAAGACUAAUUUAACUAAGAAAACACAACAUAAAUGCAUAAGAACUAACUAACUAAGGCGCAUAAAUAUGCUCCUAUCACUGUGCAAGGAAGGAGAAGAAUGAGCCACCUGGAGCCGUGCUUGCCAUUCAACAUUGGAUUGCUGAAGUGUUCUUAGGUGUUUUCUAUCUUUUAUUUUCAAUGUCAAAUUUAAGUUAUCUUUGUUUAAUUGUGAACAUGAGGAACUAAUUUCUUUUUAGUUAGAAGUGAAUUCGAAGCCAUGAUUAUAUGCUUUAUAUGAAUUGAUUACAUCCAAUUAUUGUUUCUUGAGUCUUGAAUGUGAUUUGCUUUAUAUGAAUUGAUUACAUCCAAUUAUAUGAAUUCGAAACCAAAAUUCUUCCAAAAGUGUGUUUGGAGUCCAAAUCUGCCCAGUUUGUGUUUUUAGGCAGAUUUGAGUGUUUUUAGCAUGUUUUGAGUCCUUUGAGUUUGUUUUAAGUUCUUUGAUUCUAGUGUAGUGUUUUUAACUUUGUUUAUAUGUUUUUAAGUCAGUUUAGAGGUUUUAGCAAGCCCUCAUAAUCCCCAGUUUAGAACGAUCCCUACUUGCAUUUAUACUACAAUUUAACAACAAGAGGGUUUAAUUUGUGUGUUAAGUUAAUAUUCGCAUCAAAUUUUUGGCGUCGUUGCCGGGGAUUAGCAAAGUUGCUAAUCCCCCGUUUCUUUUUCAUGUCUUUUGUUUAGUUACUGACUUUGUUUCUAUUUGUGUCUUUUGUUUUUACUUAUGAUAUUUGAUUUAGUUUUGUUUCCUUGAUUUCAGGUACUAGAGAAGUAAGACAUGGAUUUUGCUACCAUUCACCACAAUGCAAAGUGUCCUUACAUAUGGUGUGUCCUAUGGGCAAGGAUAUCCAACUCAUCAAUGUUCUCAAUUCGCUGCGAAUGAAGAUGCUUGGGGUUAUCAAGGCCAUAGCCAAUCAUGGGACAACAUGUUUUCCAACGCUUACAAUUCGGAUAGGAGAGAUUAUUUAGAUUACAUGUGGGGAGAACCUCAAUAGUUCCAACAAGAUGGGUAUUGGCAGUAAGAAGAGGAGUUCUAUUCCAGACCUAUGCAGCCACCACAACAAUCUACCCAAUUCAAUGCAGGUACGUCUUUGGAUAAUGAUAUGUUUAAUAAGUUACUCACCUCUUUAAACCAGGAAGUAGAAAAUGGAAACAAAGAGAUGCGGGUGAAUUGGAGAAGCAAAUUGGGCAGAUUAUGGAGUUUAUGGCACAAAUUCAAGAGCAAAGUGAACUCUUCAACUCAACUAUUGAAAAUUUGAAGGAAGAUUUUGAAAUCCAUGAUGCUAUCACUUUGGGAAGUGCAAUGGAGGUUGGAGGUGAACCCAAGACAUCCAAACCAAGCCAAAACAUGGAUGAACAACUGCUGCUCGAAGAAGAGGAGAAUAACAUGGCCACGGCAAGGGAAGAACCACCCUUGCCGCAGCCCCAUAUGCCCUCUAUGUCGUCCAUUACAACCAAGGUAAGCCUAAAUUCAAUUUGUCCUGACCCCGUUUCACCAAAUGUCCUUAUUCCUUGCAGGAUCAUGCAAUCCAAGGAAGAAGCGGGUGAGAAAGGCAUAUUUGAAACCUUUCCAAAGAAUCAAGAGUAAGAAGUGGAUGGGGAAUGUCUAGAAUUCAUCAAAGAAGAUACACUUGAGACAAAAAUUCCCAAAGAAGUUGGAUUUUAUGACACGGGACAAGUCAUAACUCACAAAACAUCAAAUCUGGCCAAGUCCCAUAUCCUUGCAACCUUCAAAGAUGUGGUGUUCGUAAUUGAGUUUGUGUUGGAGCAAGCAAGAAGCCAUCUUCUCUAGCUUCAAUUUUAUUAUAUACUAACUUGUUGAUUUUGAUGAUUCAGGCAGCUACACUAGAAUUUAAACCAUUGCCGGAUCUUGUCAAGUAUCACCAUCCAUUAAAGGGUCAAUUCCAUGCUAUGGGCCCUAUCCAAGUUUAGAAGGAAGUUUCGUCCAGUUGGAAGACUUGUUUAUGUAUGUUGAUUGAGGAUGCAUACUUAGUUUGCAUGCAUAAACUUGAUGCUAGAGCAUAAGGGAGUUUCACCUAAUCGUUAUGAACUUAUAUUCACAACUAGUGGAAGUCACUAGUCAUGAUUGUGUUAAGUAAAUCCUUGGCAUGAGUAUCAAGCUUUUCAUAGUUACGAAUGCCUCGUCAAUACUUAUGGUUUUCAAAUAACUGAAUGACCUUCGAUAUGUUUUCUAUCAUGCUUUUCAUAGUUAGGGGACUUGAGAAGGAUAAUUUGGUUGUGAUGCGUAUCCCGUCCAAUUCAAUGAAAUAAGGAAAAUCUUAGGGUUAAUUUAUGCUAUCACGGCUAACUUGGGGUGUUGUCAUUCGUGGUUUAAAGGAAUAAUAACUGGAAAUUGGUUUGUAUGCAUAUAUCAUGUGUGGAGAAGGACCCUCUAACUAGCCUUUCACCCUUUUCAAUUCAUCAAAUUCGUUUUAUUAAAGUGUUUUAUGCAAAGUUUCUGUUUUAAGUUUUAAAUUCGUCAAAAGAUCCAUUCAUUAAAUCAUGUUAGUUGAGUCAUAAUUUGUUUUCUUUUAGUCUUUUGAGUCAAGUUAAGUCUUAUUUUCGUCAAACUCACUUGUUAGGUCUAGAAUUGAGUCUUUUUCAUUGUUUGUUGCUGUUUUGAGUGUUUUAAGUCAGUUUUGAGUCUAUAAAGUCUAGUUGAGUGUUUCUAAGUCUAGUUUAUUAUUUUUGAGUUAUAUUUGAGUAGAUUAGCAGCCCUUCUAAUCCUCGGUCUAAAAUUAUCCCUACUUUCAUAUACUACAAUCAUAGGGCUUUCAUUUGAGUGUUAGAAUAUUUCACAUCAGAAGGUAGUUUGAAAUGCAAAACCAAAACCCAGAAAGAGAACCAGCUGAUGUGCAAAAAAAAAUCUGCAAUGCCCAAACCACCGCCUAGGCCACCCAAUCGUCCGCCUAGGCUGUCCAAGUAUUGCCUAGACAGCCUCGGUGUCCGCCUAAUCUCUUUGCUGAUUUUUACAACGUGUAGUGCUUACUGUUGGAAACAUGCCCUGAAAGUCAAUCUUUGGAAGAAACCUUUCAGGACAAAUGAAUCGAUGUAUGGAUGACUCUUAUACAUCAAAUGGCAAAGACACGAAUUAGGACUAUCUCAAUAAACGAUAUAUGUCCUAAAUAGUGUAUCCAUGGACAAUGGAUCGAUUGAAGAAGUAAUCUAAUGAUGUUAGACUACAGAGACCUUCUUCACAUAACCAUUAUGUCCAAAAGGUUCCUAGUCAUUGGAUUGUCGAAGGGAAACUGACAAUGCUUAGACCGGUACAUACUGUGUCCGCUUCAAAUGGAAGGUUGGAAAGUCUCAUCCCAUUCGUGUUGUGACACUAAGACAAGUAUGUAGGUGCUCAUUAAGAGAAUGAGUUCACUGAACACAAUCGAACGAGAGUACUUGCAUGGAGGUCUACUCACAUGUCAAGCAAGUAACUCUAAUGGUUGGAAUAAUGUAAGUAGUCCUUUGACCUGAGGCAUCGUCAUUGUCUUGUGACUAAGUACUUAAUCUUUGAUUAUGUCAAAUUCACCCCAUUCGCGGAUGUCCACGGCAUAAUUGGGGUUAAGCCACUUAGUCAUGAAGGCAAGUGAAUGCGCAACAAGGAAUCUCUAAUCCUCGAUUAGAGAGGAAGAAUACUCUAAGAUAUGAUUCGGGAAUCUUCAGCCGAAGUAUCGAGCGUAAUAAAGGAAAGCGUUCCUAUACGACUCAAUAGAAUCAUAUAAGAAGGAAUAAUCACAUUAGGGGUUUGACAUAAUAUAUCCAUACCCUAGUAAUGUGUGAUUGAGAGUAUUGUUUUUAGAGAAGGAUCGAAUUACAUUGUAAUUCCAACUGAAUAGGUUCUCCGAACAACUUCUACAUUAGCUUGGGUAGCUAUGACAUAUGGUUAGAUGUCACUCAUAGCUUGUGAGUUCUUCUAGAUGAUUAAAUGUAGUCAUCAAAGAAGAAAGGUGAAUUAAAAUGAAGUUUUAAUUCACUAAGUGAUUGGAUUAAAUAUAAUCAAUUGGAUUGAUGUCAAUCACCUCACUGCCUUGCUAAUUAGAACCUAAAAUGAUUGUACACCGAUACACACUUGUAGUGAGUAAUUAAUGGAUGAUGGAAAUAAUUAAUUGGAUUAAUUAAGUGUUGUGAUUAAUUUAGAAAGUCUAAAGAAAUCAUAAAAGCGAUAAAAGAUAGUUUUGGGCUUAAAGAAACGUUCAGGUUUAAUUAGGCCCAUUGGGCCUAAACCCAUUGGGCUUUUAUUCAAGCAUAGGAUGACUUGAAAUAAUAAAAGCCCAAAGCCCAAACCAAACACUAAAGGGCCGGCCACUUAAAGGGUUUGGGAGAGAUAUUUAGUCAAGUUGUUGACUAGGUUUCUUUUUGUGUAUAUAAGGAACUUUAUAGAGUUUUAAUCUUUAGGGUUUUUGUGUGUUUUUGAACAACAAAGAGGCAAAAGAAAAUAGCUCUCUAAAACCACAAAGGCCGGCCACCUAGAGGGUGAAUUUACUAACAAUCUUUCACCUUUUGGUUAUUCCUCUAUCCAUCUCACUACACUAGUGGGUGUGGAUCUUUAGAGGUCUUCUCCUUUGGAGACUAAAGGAGAACCUUGGAGCACUCUUACUAACAAAGUGGAGGAGGCAAGGAGGGAGGCUAGGCUCAAGGACUUCAAGGAACAAAGGGCUUGGAGGUGGUCCAUCCUUGGUCUCAAGUCUAGAUCAAGAGGUAUAAGACUAAACUUUCACCUUGUUCUUUACUAAAAUGUUUUGAUGCAUUAUAUAUAAACCUAUGAACCUUGAAGGGGAUUUGCAUGACUAUAGCUUUGAUAUUAUUUGAUAAAUUGCUUCCGUUGCUCAUGUAUAUAAAUUUUGAAUUGUAUAUGCAUGCUAGUCAUUUAGAAAUCCCAAGUGUUAAGCUCAUAAUUUUCCCUUCAAGUGGUAUCAGAGCCAAAGGUUUAUGUAUAAUGUGUCCUUUUGGAUUUUAUGCAUAUGCGUAUUAAUAUUAUGUAUGACAUAAUUAUUGCUUCAUUCAAAAUAUGUUUAUCUUUUGUUUUUCAAUAGUUGAAAAAUGUUAGUCAAUAGUUGAGAAAGAUAUGUAUGCAAAAGAUGUUUUGUAUGCAUGAAUGAAAAUUGAGUUUUGAACUAGUUAGACAUAUUAUUUCUUCAUUUAAAGUAUGUUUAUCUUUUGUUUUUCAAUGGUUGAAAAAUAUAAAUCAAGAGUUGAAAAAGAUUUGCAUGUAAAAAGGUUGUUUUGUAUGCAUGAAUGAAGAAUAAGUCAUGAACAAAAUUUUGGGGUUUUGUUCUUUGUGGUUGGCACGGUUUUGGGGAUUUUUUGGGCAUGUGUUUGUGUUUUAUUGUAAGACACUCACACAUCAUUUUAAAGCUAGAAAGGAGAAACCUUGUCACUUUAGUUUUUGGGUUUGAAAAAUCACCAAGAAUACACAAAUCUUGAAAAAGUGUUCAUGGUUUUGUUCUUGGUGUUCAUAGUUUGGUUUUGGGUGAAAAUGGUUUUAUUUGGUUUUCAUGCAUAGUUUUAUGGUUUUGGAUGAUGUUCUUACCAUCCAUAACCAUAUUAACUUAUAAAACCCUAGACUUGUCUAGGAGAUUUCCAUCACAUUUUUCAUUAAAGCCUUUUAAGCCAAAACCAAGUGACAUGCAAAUUUGGAUUUUUCUACCUUGCAUUGAAUUAAAGCAAGGUGGGUGAGACUUCCCAUCUCCCCUUAAUGUGGUCGGCCACCCUAGUGGAUUUAUCCACUUGGGGGGUCUUUUGUAAUUUGGAAAAAGAUAUUUUAUACUUUUGAGUAUUUACGGUUUGACCCCUAACUUUUUCUUAUUUGCAUUUAGGCCCCUACUAACUAGAAAGUUAAAAUAAUUGAUUUUAAUUUUGUUAGUUGUUUAAACUCAUAAUUCUAUUAUGCCCAUAUGCACUAAAUCUAAAUGUUCAUGUUGCAUUCCAUUUUGAUUAUUUAAUGUGAUUAAGUAGUUAGAAAAAGGGUGACUAUGGACUUAUGCCUUAAACGAUAAUUGAGCUAUGAGAUAAGGCGCUAAAAUCAAAUUGUUUGAACAUUGGGAAUGUGUUUUAAUUACUGUUUUUAAUGGACCUUGUCACAUUUGACAUUAAUCUAUCUCUCCCUCUUAGUAUGUGUAAUUUGUAGGAAUUUGUACAAAUCGGUUUGUAAUUCUUAUUAUUUCUUAAUCUCUUUUAGUUAGUUGAUUCCCUCUAGUGCUAGACUAGAGUUUCUUUAACUAUUGGUAAGGAGACAUAACUAAAAGAGGGUUUUGACAUGAGAUUAAAGAUUAAAUGGGUCCAAUGUCCUAAUUAGCAAUGAAUGAUUGUCUUUCAUUUCUAAUGGCUCAAUGAAAAUGUUUUAAUUGGAUUGAAAAGCACGUAAUUAAAUUGACACAACCUCCCCGAGUUUAUAUUCAACAAUGUUGGCUCGUUGUUGCAAUAACCUAAUAAGUCCAUGGUCAUCCAAGAGCCUAAGAUAACUAUAAAGUCCAAUUUCAAAGGAAUGCAAAAACCUUAGUAGUAGUAGUUACUUCCAAUAUUUGAAAAAUUAGUUUUUGAUAUUGAUUUGUUUUUCUUAAAACAAAUAGUGGGAGUAUCAUACGCUACUAAACUAUAAUGAAAACAAUUAGUAGUUAUAUAUAUCUCCAAUAUUUUGAAAAAUGUUUUGAUAUUGAUUUGUUUUAUGAAAACGAAUAGUGGGGAUAUCAUAUGCUACUAAUUUCAUUAAUUUUGGACUAGUAGUUGUAAUAGGACAUUAUUUAUUUGAAUAUGAUUAAAUAAAUAAAAUUGAUGAGACCUUAAAAUCCCUCAACCAACAUACAAUAUUAAGUUGAAAGCGUAAGAGUGCUUUGAACACUUUUUCGUGGCCUUCCACCGUGGUAGGCUCCACUCGUUUAUGACUUGUACAUCGCCUUCACCCUAUCAUGGGGGAGUGCAAAGUGCAUGCUUAUACUCAGGAGGAGUUUAUUUAAAACAUUUGAUGAGGUUAAGGUAGGCAACGAGUGUGGCCAACAUUGUAUCAUCGUGAGGUCACGCUUGAACCCCUAUCUAAACCGACAUGGUGGGAAAGAACUUAACUAAGAGAAAUAAUGCCAACAUCGUAUCAUCGUGAGGCAUUACUCUCUAGAGGCCAAAAAGAUGGGUAAUCACAAGAGGUUGUUGUGAAUGGGUAAUUGUACCCUCUCAUUAUUAUUUUUGCUAGCCAACAUCGUAUCAUCGUGAGGUGGGCUUGGUAAUAGUGAGCCUCCCAUAACCCGCUAGGAGCUUUCUUUGAAAACUCCCGGAUUCCAUCUUGAGGGAUAUGAAAUUUGCCAAAAAUGGUGGGUGGUGUCAUUUGGUUUAAAGACCCGAAUCGUUUGACUUAAUCAACGAUCAAACUAAUUAUUUUUUUUUAUGUAUUUAGAUAUGGUUGGAAGCACACUUGCGAAUAUACUCGACAAACAUUGCCUAGAGGGGCACAAUUUCCCAUCAUGGCAUCGUAAUGUCAAGAUUCUCCUAACAUUGGAGAAGAUUGUUGAUGCGUAAAAUAACUAAACACACAAAUUAAACCCUCUUGUUGACAAUUGUAGUAUGAAUAAGUAGGGAUCGUUCUAGACCGGGGAUUAGGAAGGAUUGCUAAACACUUGAAAACUGACUUAGAAACGUAAAAACAAAGUUUAAAACACUAGAUUAGACUCAAAGAAUGCAAAACUAAAGUUUAAAACACUAAAACAAACCAAAAACUCAAAACAGCAACCAAAAGACUCAAAACUGCCUUAAAAACACUUUAUGGACAGUUUUGAACACAAAGCACCAAAUUGGACGAAUUUGGGUUUUAAGUUGUACCAAAACACUUAAAAACAUAAACCAAAACACUUUCUAACUAAUCUAGGACUUCAAAAUAAAUGGGGAUUUGAUUUGGACGAAAAUAAACUAACAAAACAGAUUUGAAAACGAUUUUGGGGUUUUAAAUGGAUGAUGGAUUAGUUAGAGGCUCUUUCUCCACACAUGACAAGUAUGCAAACGACUCGAUUUCCAGUUAUUCCUUCAUUGAAUUAUGAAUGACAAUGCCCCAAAUUAACCGUGACAUCACUAGUUAAUUCUCAAGUUUUCCUUGUGUUAUUGGAUUGGAUGACAUCAUUCGACAACCCAAAGCAUUCCUCAAAAGUUCCCUACAUGACAUCAUAAUACAGAUACAAUCAAAGAUCAUUACGUUCAAUGAAAACUAUAAGCAUUGACAAAGCACUUGCAACUAUGACAUCAUGUCACUCAUGCUAGGAAUUGGACUUAACGCGAUCGUGACUAGCGACCUUCACUACAUAUGAAUAUAAGUGUGUGACGAUUAUGUGAAACAACCUUAUAUUCUAGCAUCAUAUUCAUGCAAGCCAAUUAAGUGUCGACCCCUAAUUAACAAACACAAAUAAGUUAUUACUUGCACAGUUAAACCAAUUGCAUUCACGAUUCAAGAACUCAUAACUGGAAUUUAUCAAAUCAAAUUGCACACAUAGUCAUGGCUUCGAAAUCACCCUUAACCAAAUAGGGUUUAGUUCCUCAUAAUCGCAACAUAAAGAUUAUUAAACUUAAACAUUGAAAACAAAAGAAAGAUUACACCUAGAAACGCUCCAACAAUCCAACGUCUUGAAUGUCAAGCACGUCCAAGGGUCUCCUUCUUUCUUCUUUGCUGCGACACAAGGGUGUUUGGUGAUGAUUUGUGGUGAAUUAUGGUGGUGGAUGGAUGUAGGUAGGUUAUGGUGAAGGGUGGAGUGCUUAGAAUGGUCAACAAGGGCCUUUAUUUAUAGGGGAAGGAAGGGCUACGAAUUUGAAGUGGUUUUAGGGAAGGAUUUAUGUAGGAAAAGGAAUGUGAUUUUGGGUCAGAAAAUAGGCAAGAAAGGUGCAGGAAUUAAAGAGAAAAGGAAAGGGAAAUUCGGCAGAAUGAUAGGAGCAUAUUUAUGCGCCUUAGUUAGCUAGUUCUUAUGCAUUUCCAUGGUGUUUUCUUAGUUAAAGUAGUCUUUUAAGCUAGUUUUAUGUGUUUUCAGGUUUUAAGGCCAAAGGAUGCAAGAAGAUGCAUUUGGAGCUUUUUGGAGCAAAAUUGGGCUUGGAAUGAUUAUCACAUAAUUGGAGCCAAGGUUUGGACGAAUUUGAAUACUUGAAGAUGAUGAUUCCUACUUGAACAAGGUUCCUAGUUGAAGUAGGAAAGUGCUUACAUGAAGGAGGAUUCCUAAUCGACGAAGGAUUCCUAAUCGACGAAGGAUUCCUAAUCAACGAAGGAUUCCUAAUUGAAGAUGAAUUCCUAAUCACAUGAGGAUUCCUAGAAGAACAAGGAUUCCUACUCCAACAAGGAUUCCUACUUGAAGUAGGAAAGUUAAGCCAAGGUUUCCUACUUUGGUUUGAUUUUUCCGAAUUGUCCCUAAACGUUUCAGCAAUUAUGAAGACUUUCUAGGCAUUCUAGGACACAAAACAAAAGCCUAGAACCCUUUUGAACCCUUGCCGCACCCCCCUUUGCAUUUCCUCUUCCCUAUUUCCUGUUUUUAUGCUUUAAAACACCUUCCUUUUGUGUUUUAAACCCUAGCCGAAUUUCCCUUGCCCUUUCCCUUAAUUUUCUGAUUUGUUUCCUUAAUUCUAGAAGCUUUAAACUUAAUUCCUGAUUACCUAAUUAGCCUAGGGUUUUUAAUUUCCUAAUCCCUUUAAAUAAACAUGUUUGUGCAGCCACAAACAUAGCCAUUCAUCCAGAAAAUAAUCCUUCACGCCAGAAACCAUUCUCCAUCUUCAACAGCACCUAUCCUUCACCAUUCACCAUAUUUUCUGACCAAAAACCACCCUAGCCGUCCCAUACACCUAUCCCAGCCAUAAACCCAUCGUUCUACACCAUUCAUAACCCCCCAAAACUCACCCAUUCGUGUGCAGCAGCAAGGAGAAAGAAGGAAGGACUCUUGGAUGCUUAAGCUUCAUCGUUGGUGCAUUCUAGGUGUAAUUCGUUUUAUGAUUUCAAUGUUUAAUUUCUUUUCCUUUCGUUUUGCUACGAACAUGAGUGGCUAAACCCCUAUUGGUUAGGGGUGAUUUCGAAGCCAUGACUAUGUGUGCAAUUUGAUUUGAUAAAUUCCAGUUAUGAGUUCUUGAAUCGUGAAUGCAAUUGGCUUAACUGUGAGAGUAAUAACUUAUUUGUGUUUGUUAAUUAGGGAUCGACACUUAAUUGGCUUGCAUGAAUAUGUUGCUAGAAUAUAAGGUUGUUUCACAUAAUCGUCACACACUUAUAUUCAUGUGUAGUAAAGGUCGCUAGUCACGAUCGCGUUAAGUCCAAUUCCUAGCAUGAGUGACAAGGAAAACUUGAGAAUUAACUAGUGAUGUCACGGUUAAUUUGGGGCAUUGUCAUUCAUAAUUCAACGAAGGAAUAACUGGAAAUCGAGUCGUUUGCAUACUUGUCAUGUGUGGAGAAAGAGCCUCUAACUAAUCCAUCAUCCAUUUAAAACCCCAAAAUCGUUUUCAAAUCUGUUUUUACUUUGCAAUCUGUUUUGUUAGUUUAUUUUCGUCCAAAUCAAAUCCCCAUUUAUUUUGAAGUCCUAGAUUAGUUAGAAAGUGUUUUGGUUUAUGUUUUUAAGUGUUUUGGUACAAGUUAAAGCCCAAAUUCGUCCAAUUUGGUGCUUUGUGUUCAAAACUGCCCAGAAAGUGUUUUUAAGGCAGUUUUGAGUCUUUUGGUUACUGUUUUGAGUUUUUGGUUUGUUUUAGUGUUUUAAACUUUAGUUUUGCAUUCUUUGAGUCUAAUCUAGUGUUUUAAACUUUGUUUUUACGUUUCUAAGUCAGUUUUCAAGUGUUUAGCAAUCCCUCCUAAUCCCCGGUCCAGAACGAUCCCUACUUACAUACUUUACUACAAUUGACAAAAAGAGGGUUUAAUUUGUGUGCUUAUAUAUUUUCGCAUCAAAUUUUUGGCGCCGUUGCCGGGGAUUAGCAACUUUGCUAAUCCCUUGGUUCUUUUCUUUUUGUUUAGUUUGUUUCUGUUUUAGUUUCUGACUUAGUUUUGUUUUCCUUGUUUUGUGUUACUUUUGAUAUUUGAUUUAGUUCUCUUUCUUUGAUUUUAGGUACUAGAGAAGUAAGACAUGGAUUUUGCUAGCAUUCAAGCUCAAUUAGCAAAUCUUACUUCUCAAUUGUCACAGAUUGCCGAAAGGAACACAAUGCAAAUUGUCCCUACAUUUGGUGCGUCUUAUAGGCAAGGAUACCAAGCCAAUCUAUAUCCACAAAGCGAUUGGAGUGAUUAUUCAAACUCUAUGUGGUGGGAAGCUCAACAAGUUCAACACAAAGCAUAUUGGCAGCCAUAUGAAGAGUUCUAUUCAAGACCUAUGCAGCCACCACAACCUCAUAUACAAUAUGCUCAAUCAAAUUUAGGUUCGUCAAUAGAUUAUAAUCAAAUUCUUUGUUGCAGGGCUCACAAAAUCAAGCCAAGGAGGAUCAACAAGGUGGAUAUUGGCAGCAAGAAGAGGAGUUCUAUCAUUGGCCAUAUGAACUAUCACAUCCAUCACAACAAUUUGCCCAAUUCAAUUCAGGUACGUCUUUGGAUAAUGAUGUGAAAAUUAACUUGACACACAAAUUAAACCCUAUGGAUGACAAUUGUAGUAUAUGAGCAAAUAGGGAUCGUUCUAAACCGGGGAUUAACUAGGGAUGCUAAUCAAUGUGAAACUGACUCAAGAACAUAAAAACAUAAUGUAGAACACUAAACUAGACUCAAUUAAUGCAAAACUAGAGUUUAAAACACUUAAGUCAACCAAAAACUCAAAACAGCAACUAAAAGACUCAAAACUGCCUUAAAACCACUUUCUGGGCAGUUUUGAGUACCUAACACUAAUUUGGACGAAUUGGACUAUAACUUGACUCAAAGCACUUAAAAACACAAACUAAAUUGAUUUCUAACUACUGUAACACUUUAAAAUCAAUGGGGGAAUGAUUUUGACGAUAAUUGAAACUUUAAAACUUAAACUUUGAAAACACGCUUAAAGCAAAACAGAUUAUGAUGAAAUAGAAUGGUGAGAAACUAGUUAGAGGGUUCCUUAUCCACACAUGAACAUAUGCAUACGAUUCAAUUUCCAAUUACUCUUUCAACAAACCAUGAAUGACAAUGCCCCAAAUUAACUAGAUUGCACCAAUUAAUUCUCAGAUUUCCCUAGAUUCAUUGAAUUGAAUGGAAUACGCAUUACAACCAAAUUAUUCUUAUCAAGGACCCUAACUAUGGAAUACGCAUGAUAGAGACACAUAUCAAAGAUCAUUAAGUUUAAUGGAAAUCAUAAGCAUUGACGAGGCAUUCAUAACUAUGGGAUACGCAUGUUACUCUUGCCUAGGAUUUACUUAACACAAUCGUGACUAGCGACUUUCACUACUUAUGAAUAUAAGUUAAUAACGAUUAGGUGAAAUUCCCUUAUAUCCUAGCAUCAAGUUUAUGCAUGCAAAUUAAGUGUCGACCCUCAACCCACAUACAUAAACAAGUUAUCAAUCAAAUAGAUAAGUAAACCACAUUCACGAAUUUAUGAAAUCAUAAUUGGAAGAAAUCAAAUCAUAUAAAACAUAUGUCCAUGGCUUCAAAUUCGCCUCUAACUAAAAAGAAAUUAGUUCCACAUGUUUAACAUAAUUGAAAAGCAAUUUAAAUUAAACAUGAAAACAGAAACAAAGAGAAGAAAAAAACUCUUAAAAACUCCCAAAGAUGCAGAUGACUUGCGCACAAGGCCCUCAUUCAUCAAUGGAAUGCACGACAAGGCUCUCCUUCUUCUCCAAAAGGUGCUGCAGAGAUGUGUAUGGAUGUAGGAUGGGGUUUUGUGAUGUAGAAUGGUGAUUAGGGUUGCGGCAAGGUGUGUUUGGAUGGUGUGAAGGGGUGGUGACGAAUUUAGGCUUAAAACACAUAUAUAUAUAGGCACCACAAACCCUAAAGAAAUCAGGUUAGACAAUGGGCUAGGGUUUAGGUGCGGCUAGGGUUAGAGAUGGGCCUUCUAGAAUGCCUUGCAAGGCAAGGAAAUAGGUGUUUCUAGAAGGCUAGGUGCGGCUGAUUAGUGGGCUAGGGUUAGGGUUUGUAGAUAGGGCUUCUAGAAAGCCCAAAACCAAGAAUAGAAACUCUCGAAAAAUGGAAACCUCUAAGAAUAGAAACUUCCAACUUUAGAAACUUUGGUUGCCAAUUCCGACUUCUUUGUUCUUCACUUUCAUUUCUUCAUUUCUUAAGCUCCUUUGACCUUCAAACUCGUCCAUUCCUUGUGCUCCAUAAGCAUACACUCCAUUCCAGCUCAAUUUUUGCUCUCAAAUGCUCCAAAUUGCAUCAUUUUAUGUAAUAUGCUCUUAAAACCUGAAAACACAUGAAACUAACUUAAAAGACUACUUUAAACUACGAAAACAUAACUAAAAUGCAUAAGAACUAGCUAACUAAGGCGCAUAAAUAUGCUCCUAUCAAAUUCCCCCACACUUAGCUUUUGCUAGUCCUCGAGCAGAAUAAAGAAUUAAAGAAAAACAAAACGAACAAAAACAAACAAAACACAACCUAAACCUUCCAACAUUUACCUCAGGGAUUUCCAAUACACAUGACAUGUUAAAAAUCAUCAUGCCCACAGAUUUUAGUCAUCUUUACACUUAAGCACACACUUAAUCAUAGUCACCACGUACUAGUUCACAUUUAACCAAUUAAAACAUGAUUUUGAAUGUAGUAACAUGCCUUAGAGAAUUUGCUCAAUUCCUUACUAGAUAUGCACUCAAUUUUCACACAGAUUUUCUGACUACACACCCUAUACUAGUUAUAUGUGAGAAGAUUGAUGUAAAUAUGAAAAAACGAAUGCUCACAUAUAUGUUAUAACAAGGAAAGCUUUCUCUGAAUUUAAUAAGCAUGUAUAUGAUCUCAUGAAAGGAAUGCUACUACUUAGACGCGAGAACCAGUGACACCAUAUGCUCAUACCAAUCCCAAACUCCACAAAUUGAAAUACACAACACUCAAGAUAGAAGUUAAGGGUUGUAACGGGGCUUGGGGUAUUGGCUAACAAAGAAAGGUGAAGGGUAAACAAACGUUCUUAAAACAAUAGUAAGCAAAGCAAUGAAAUUGACUCUUCGAAUUCACUUUUGAAUGCAAAAAUCAACUUUUAAACUCAAAGGGGAAAUUCAUGCAACACUUGGGGUCAAAUUCAAUGUUUUGGACCCCUUCUUCAACAACCAACACCUUAGAGCUCAUUUCCAUGCUCUUUCAACUCUUUUUCACACUUUUCAGCAUUUUUCUUUUUUUUUCUUCUUUUUUCUACCAAUUUUUCUUUCUUUUUUUUUUUUUUUUCUCGUGCCUCAAAAUAGACUUUGGCACAUCCACCUAACAAAAAUCACUUCCCCCACACUUGUUUUCUGCACACCCUCAAUCAAAAGGAAUUCAUUUUAAGUCAUGCUUACUAUGCUUCAAGAACAAGGGUAUGGAUGGUCCUAAUCUAGGCUAGGUAAGGAUAAUGUGGGUUAACAAACAAUAUAGGCUAAACAAGGCUCAACGGGUUUAAACCUACAAAAACAAAUGUAUGGAAUGAAGGCUUUUUGGCUAUGGUGGUAACUACUAAACAACUUUAUCUUGAAUAUGUGUUAUGCAAUUCAAUAACAUGUUUUGAAUGAAAUUGGCAUGAGUUCUAGCAUUUGGAACUAAAUGAUGAAACGCCUUCUAAGUAGUAACCAAGCAAAGAAUAAUGAGAUCAUGCAACGACUUUAGAAAACAAGAAUGCACAGAUUUUAACUCUCCAAAUAAAGUUUAGGCUCAAGUCUCUCAGGGUUGUAGCUUUAGUUUGAGUUUCUUCCUUCAAGCAUGUCACAAAAACUGAUUUUUUCCUUUUUGAUUACAUGUGAAUUCAUAAGUUAUAACUACAACUAAGCAUAAACCAAGAGUAAAUCAAACUUCCAUCCAUGUUUAUAACUCUCUUCAAUAGUCAUUCAAUUAAAAACCGAAUCCUCAUCAUUGUGUUGGAAGGUACCCUAAGACACAAACAAACACACAAAAACAACUUAAAAACGACUCUUUUUGGGUUUUUUUAAAAC